rnacentral:lncRNA from 1 species
GUUCCCUACGCGGUCGGGCGUUGGGUUUCGCGGCGCUCGCCGCACUGGUUGUUCAGCACCUUCGGUCCGGUUGAGGUUGUCAAGUCGGACCAAACAGGUUGUUUCUCUGCAGUUUCCAACAUGGCAGGGAGGUUUAAUAGACAUGGAUAAGAAGUCCACUCACAGAAAUCCUGAAGAUGCCAGGGCUGGCAAAUAUGAAGGUAAACACAAACGAAAGAAAAGAAGAAAGCAAAACCAAAACCAGCACCGAUCCCGACAUAGAUCAGUGACGUCUUUUUCUUCAGAUGAUCCUAUGUUUCCUUCUUCCUCAUCAUCGUCUUCAGGAAGCCAGACAGAUUCAAGUAUUGAAGUAACACAGACCCUCUGUAGAAUACCCAGGAGGGAUAGGAAUGAAUCAGAGAUGCUGCCAAGGGAAAAAUUAAGAAGAAGAGAAGAGAGAAAACAAAUAAAUGGGAAAAAAGAAAGAGUCUUGUCCUGUUGCUCAGGCUGGAGUGCAAUGAUGCGACCUCGGCUCACUGCAACCUCUGCCUCCCGGAUUCAAGCAAUUCUCCUGCCACAGCCUCCUAAGUAGCUAGGACUACACGCAUGCACCACCACACCUGGCUAAUUUUUGUAUUUUUAGUAGGGACGGGGUUUCACCUGGUUGGCCAGGCUGGUCUCGAACUCCUGACCUCAUGUGAUCCGUCCACUUCAGCGUCCCAAAGUGCUGGGAUUACAGGCAUGAGCCACCGUGCCCUGCCUCUUUUAGUUAUUUUUAAAUGUACAAUAAAUUGUUGUUGACUGUAAUCACCCUGUUGUGCUAUAAAAUACGAAAUCUUAUACAUUCUAGCUAUAUUUUUAUACUCAUUAAUCAUCCUCCUUUCCCCACCUUCAACUACCCUUCUAAGCCUCUGGUAACGAUCGUUCUGGUAUCACCAUGAGUUUAUUUGUUUUCAUUUUUAGCUCCCACAAAUAGGUGACAACAUGUGAAUUUUGUCUUUCUGUGCCUGGCUUUUGUCACUUAACAAUGACCUCCAUUUCCAUCCCUUGUUGCAAGUGACAGCAUCUCAUUUUUUUUUUUUUUUUGGCUGAAUAGUGCUCCGUUGUGUAUUUGUACCACAUUCAUCUGUUGAUGGACGUUUAGAUUGCUUCCAGAUCUUGGCUAUUGUUGCUGAAUUCUUUUUCUCAGCAUGGAACGUCCCUGAGAAAGAGAAUGCACGCCUAGGGGUAGGUCUCUGAACUGGCCCCCCCGGGGCGUACCUGUCUCUUAUGGUUGAGACUGCAGGGACGAAAUAAACUCCAGUCUCCCAUAGCGCUCCCAGGCUUAUUAGGAAGAGGAAAUUCCCACCUAAUAAAUUUUGGUCACACCGGUUGAUCUCAAAACCCUGUCUCCUGAUAAGAUGUUAUCAAUGACAGUGGUGCCCAAAACUUCAUUAGCAAUUUUAAUUUCGCCUCGGUCCUGUGGUCCUGUGAUCUCGCCCUGCCUCCACUUGCCUUGUGAUAUUCUAUUACCCUGUUAAGUACUUGAUGUCUGUCACCCACACCUAUUCGUAUACUCCCUCCCCUUUUGAAACUCCCUAAUAAAAACUUGCUGGUUAUUGUGGCUUGUGGGGCAUCAUGGAUCCUAACAACGUGUGAUGUCUCCCCCGGACGCCCAGCUUUAAAAUUUCUCUUUUGUACUCUGUCCCUUUAUUUCUCAAGCCAGCCGACGCUUAGGAAAAUAGAAAAGAACCUACAUGAUUAUCGGGGCAGGUCCCCCGAUAUCUGGCGCCCACGUGGUCUUUCUUUUUUCCUAAGUGCAUGAGGGAACCCGAUUCCCUUUGGUAGGUGCGGUGAAACAUCAAUCGGCUUGGUCCACAGAUAAGCGUGUUCAACUCCCCGACGAGUGG